UAAGCGUGAAGUGAAGCACAUAAACCUGCUGAAUUUAAGCAUAUAAGUAAGUGGUGGAAAUUAAACCAAUUUCACGUCAUCACGAAACGCCGCGGACGAGACUCGUGAUACGGCUAUUUUUUAUAGGUAAUGCCAUGAUAUAUGAUCCUAGACGUCAGUGACUGUCGGACAAUUGGCCGACCUAUUGUAGUUCCGAGACACUUUCAAG
rnacentral:rRNA from 1 species